AGAGAAGCGAAGCGGUGACGUGGAGCAAACCUCAGAAAGCCAAUCUCAGUUCGGAUUGUAGGCUGCAACUCGCCUACAUGAAGUUGGAAUCGCUAGUAAUCGCGAAUCAGAAUGUCGCGGUGAAUACGUUCCCGGGUCUUGUACACACCGCCCGUCACACCACGAGAGUUUACAACACCCGAAGUCAGCGGCCUAACCGCAAGGAGGGAGCUGCCUAAGGUGGGGUAGAUGAUUGGGGUGAAGUCGUAACAAGGUAGC
rnacentral:rRNA from 1 species